UACGUAGGGGGCUAGCGUUGCUCGGAAUCACUGGGCGUAAAGCGCACGUAGGCGGGUUGUUAAGUCGGGGGUGAAAUCCUGGAGCUCAACUCCAGAACUGCCUUCGAUACUGGCGACCUUGAGUCCGGGAGAGGUGAGUGGAACUCCGAGUGUAGAGGUGAAAUUCGUAGAUAUUCGCAAGAACACCAGUGGCGAAGGCGGCUCACUGGCCCGAUACUGACGCUGAGGUGCGAAAGCGUGGGGAGCAAACAGG
rnacentral:rRNA from 1 species